ACGACUGAAAUCGCAUCGAAAAGAGGCCGAGUUUAAGCAAAUUGGAGGUUUGUUUAACUUGCCAACUAAGAUUCUAUUGUGGCGUUACUAAAACGGAGUAUAAAAAGAUGCAACGAAACUCACAUACAUCUAUGCAUGUAGGCAGGCAUAUAUAUUCACAUUAAUAAAUUACCGUAGCAUAUAUCUACGAGUCUUACUCUUUCAUAUUGAUAUACUGAUCACCACUCCAUCACACCACUGCCACCAACAACAAUCUUCUUCACAUUCAUUACCAUUCCAAAUCAGCUUCACAUUUCGCAGGGACAUGCUCCCACUUC
rnacentral:lncRNA from 1 species